CCCGCUCAGAAACUCAAAUGAAGUUGACGGGGGCCCGCACAAGCGGAGGAGCAUGUGGUUAAUUCGAUGAUACGCGAGGAACUUACCUGGGCUCGAACGUAAGAUGACUGUAGGUGAAAGCUUACAUCUCUUCGGAGCAUUUUACGAGGUGCUGCAUGGUUGUCGUCAGCUCGUGCCGUGAGGUGUCGGGUUAAGUCCCAUAACGAGCGCAACCCCUACCUUUAGUUGCCAUCAGGUUAAGCUGGGGACUCUAAAGGAACUGCCUACGCAAGUAGUGAGGAAGGCGGGGAUGACGUCAAAUCAGCACGGCCCUUACGUCCAGGGCUACACACGUGCUACAAUGGCCGAUACAGAGGGCAGCUACCUGGUGACAGGAUGCAAAUCUCCAAAGUCGGUCUCAGUUCGGAUCGGAGUCUGCAACCCGACUCCGUGAAGUUGGAUUCGCUAGUAAUCGCGCAUCAGCCAUGGCGCGGUGAAUACGUUCCCGGGCCUU
rnacentral:rRNA from 1 species